UGGGGAAUAUUGCACAAUGGGCGAAAGCCUGAUGCAGCAACGCCGCGUGAGUGAUGAAGGCCUUCGGGUUGUAAAGCUCUGUCUUUUGGGACGAUAAUGACGGUACCAAAGGAGGAAGCCACGGCUAACUACGUGCCAGCAGCCGCGGUAAUACGUAGGUGGCAAGCGUUGUCCGGAUUUACUGGGCGUAAAGGAUGCGUAGGCGGAUUUUUAAGUGAGAUGUGAAGACCCUAAGCUUAACUUGGGGACUGCAUUUCAUACUGGAAAUCUAGAGUGCGGGAGAGGAGAAUGGAAUUCCUAGUGUAGCGGUGAAAUGCGUAGAGAUUAGGAAGAACACCAGUGGCGAAGGCGAUUCUCUGGACCGUAACUGACGCUGAGGCAUGAAAGCGUGGGUAGCAAACAGGAUUAGAUACCCUGGUAGUCCACGCCGUAAACGAUGAGUACUAGGUGUAGGAGGUAUCGACCCCUUCUGUGCCGCAGUUAACACAAUAAGUACUCCGCCUGGGAAGUACGAUCGCAAGAUUAAAACUCAAAGGAAUUGACGGGGUC
rnacentral:rRNA from 1 species